UCAUACUUCAGUUUGUGCUCUGUGCCUGCUGGCUCUGAGCAUGAGGCAAAUAGGAAACACUUGCUCAAGAAUGUUUUGCGGUCCCCUGUGGUCUACAGUGGAUAAAAAGGUCUUAAUUUUUCCUAGGAAUUACCAUGCAGUGAGCCUUGCAUUUCCAUUUAGACUGAGUUCUGUGAGAGAAGCACCCGUGCCUGUCGUGCCCUCUAUGGUGUCCCAGAUCCCAGUGCCAGCUUGAGACAUAGUAGGGGUUCAGUAAAUACCUGCAGGAUGAAUGCAAGUGUGUGUUUGGCUCCUGACGCCCAAUACGAACUACGUGAUAUUGAGAAAGUCAGAUAAUCUCUAAGCCUCAGUUUCUUCAUCUAUAAAUUUGGGAUAAAAAUCCUUUAUUGCCUCACAGGAUUGAUGUGAAGGUAAAAAUCAAGCAGUCCUCCCACCUUGGCCUCCACAAGUGCAAGGAUUACAGGCAUGAACCACCACACCGAGCCUGAUUUCUUUGUGAAAUGCAGUUUAUACAUUUGUGGUGAAGAUGAAAUGAGAUCUCAUGCCUGAAAGUGCUUAGCACAAUGUAAGUACACAGUAAGCACUCCAUAAAUGCUGGCUAGUGGGUCUUCAUCCAGAUCGUCAUCACCAUCAUCACCAUCAUCAUCUUAGUAGUCAUUUGACCAAAGCUUGGCCAGUGGGGGCCCAAUAUGGGACCUUGACCCCGAUAGGCCCUUCAGCCAAGGCCACAUUAUAAGUUUCAUGGGUCCUAAGCACUUUUGACUUUGGGGCUAAGGGCCCCUUCCUCCAUUAAAAAAAAAGAAAAAAAAAAAA